rnacentral:rRNA from 1 species
UACGUAGGGUGCGAGCGUUAAUCGGAAUUACUGGGCGUAAAGCGUGCGCAGGCGGUUAUAUAAGUCAGUUGUGAAAUCCCCGGGCUCAACCUGGGAACUGCAUCUGUGACUGUAUAGCUAGAGUACGGUAGAGGGGGAUGGAAUUCCGCGUGUAGCAGUGAAAUGCGUAGAUAUGCGGAGGAACACCGAUGGCGAAGGCAAUCCCCUGGAACAGUACUGACGCUCAUGCACGAAAGCGUGGGGAGCAAACAGG